GUGAAAGCCCAGCUUGCUGGGUGGAUCAGUGGCGAACGGGUGAGUAACACGUGAGCAAUCUGCCCCUGACUCUGGGAUAAGCGCUGGAAACGGCGUCUAAUACUGGAUACGAGCUGCGAUCGCAUGGUCAGUAGCUGGAAAGAUUUUUUGGUCAGGGAUGAGCUCGCGGCCUAUCAGCUUGUUGGUGAGGUAAUGGCUCACCAAGGCGUCGACGGGUAGCCGGCCUGAGAGGGUGACCGGCCACACUGGGACUGAGACACGGCCCAGACUCCUACGGGAGGCAGCAGUGGGGAAUAUUGCACAAUGGGCGCAAGCCUGAUGCAGCAACGCCGCGUGAGGGAUGACGGCCUUCGGGUUGUAAACCUCUUUUAGCAGGGAAGAAGCGAAAGUGACGGUACCUGCAGAAAAAGCGCCGGCUAACUACGUGCCAGCAGCCGCGGUAAUACGUAGGGCGCAAGCGUUAUCCGGAAUUAUUGGGCGUAAAGAGCUCGUAGGCGGUUUGUCGCGUCUGCUGUGAAAUCCCGAGGCUCAACCUCGGGUCUGCAGUGGGUACGGGCAGACUAGAGUGCGGUAGGGGAGAUUGGAAUUCCUGGUGUAGCGGUGGAAUGCGCAGAUAUCAGGAGGAACACCGAUGGCGAAGGCAGAUCUCUGGGCCGUAACUGACGCUGAGGAGCGAAAGGGUGGGGAGCAAACAGGCUUAGAUACCCUGGUAGUCCACCCCGUAAACGUUGGGAACUAGUUGUGGGGUCCAUUCCACGGAUUCCGUGACGCAGCUAACGCAUUAAGUUCCCCGCCUGGGGGAGUACGGCCGCAAGGCUAAAACUCAAAGGAAUUGACGGGGGACCCGCACAAGCGGCGGAGCAUGCGGAUUAAUUCGAUGCAACGCGAAGAACCUUACCAAGGCUUGACAUACACCAGAACACCGUAGAAAUACGGGACUCUUUUGGACACUG
rnacentral:rRNA from 1 species